rnacentral:rRNA from 1 species
GACGAACGCUGGCGGCGUGCCUAAUACAUGCAAGUAGGACGCAGGUGCGAACGGGUGAGUAACGCGUAGGUAACUACCUAUUAGAGGGGGAUAACUAUUGGAAACGAUAGCUAAUACCGCAUAAUAGUAGAUGGACCUGAGUUGUAUUAGCUAGUAGGUAGGGUAAUGGCCUACCUAGGCAAUGAUACAUAGCCGACCUGCGAUGGUGAGCGGCCACACUGGGACGUAGACACUGCCCAGACUCCUACGGGAGGCAGCAGUAGGGAAUCUUCGUCAAUGGGGGGAAUCCGGACCGAGCAACGCCGCGUGAGUGAAGAAGGUUUUCGGAUCGUAAAGCUCUGUUGUUAAGGAAGCGGUACUUAACCAGAAAGGGACGGCUAACUACGUGCCAGCAGCCGCGGUAAUUC